UAGCUCCUUGUUUAUUUUAGUGAUUUCAAAUAUCUUCUUCUAGCAUUUUUAUUGAUUAUAAAUGCAAUUUUUGUAAAAGUAAAUGUUGGAGUAACAAGAGUAUUGUAUCAGAACUCUAGACUGGGAUGCUGGUAACAUAGAGUUUAUGAUAUGGCAUUAUGAUUGAUGUUUACCAUUUUAAUGUUGUAGGCCAUCACUCGAGUGAAGCCAUGCAUCUGCACCAUGCCGCUGAAGAUGGAAGAAGGUUGGAACCAAAUCCAGUUGAAUUUGGCAGAUUUUACCAGGAGACCAUAUGGAACCAAUUAUGUUGAGACUUUGGGAGUUCAGAUUCAUGCAAACUGGGAAAAGAAAGCAUGAAAAGUUCCAGGCUUCAGAAUCGCUACAUCUCCAACUGAUUUCCUUUAGCUUUUCUUUUCUUUUUUUUUUUUUUUUGGGGCAUUCUGCAUGUGUCAACUGGUAGUGUCUUAGUUUUCAUUUGUCUUGUAUUAUUAGGAAAAAUAUACCAAAUUCCAGAAGUGGAUGUUUGGCUUCUCUAGACAAAUCAUUUUCGAGCAAUAACCAUUUCUCUUGAUUUGUUGUUUUCU